GUGACUCCUCCCAUAAAAACUUCUAAUUUCUUUUUGGUGAACUAAGACUAAACUAGGUAGGAUUUUGUGUGUUAGAACUUACAGAUGCUCAACUAUAAGACAAAAGGCAGCUGUUAAGAGUGGCAAUUACCCUGUUCUUCACUUAUUCCUGUUUCCUCUAUUUUGUAUUGAGUUCUGAAAUUUUGCUUGAGUGUACAGACAUUGUGUUAAAUUCUAGAUAAGCUGUGAUCAUUUGGUUUUUUCACUUGAUUUUUCCUCCUCUCGUGCAAGUAUUAGCUUUGUGGUUUACAGCCCUGACUGUGCUUGCAGUGCUGGUGGACUAACACUGGUUCUGACAUCCUGAGAUUUCUACAGUCUGGUAAUUUUAGAAGUGCCUAGUUCUUCUUAAGAAGCAAACCAGCAAAAUCCACAGUAGUGUAACUGCCUGAAGCUGUUAGUGAUAACACAUUCAGUACAAGUCAGAUGCUGCUUUCAAGGCAACUGUAGUGAUACCUGGGUAGUGACAAAAG